CCAACCAUCCAAACCCCAUUCUCCGUGCUCGCGAUGUUCCCGGUAGGUCCCACGUAUUCAAUUCCCGCCAUCACAGUGGACCCCGAGACCGAAAUAGACGCCCCACAGCUCUCACUCUUUACAUCAAACGGCAGAGACGGUGGCGGUGACGGAACAUUUGACGGCGGAGAGGUGGGUUUAACGUUGGUGCAUGACGGGGAGGUCGCUAUCUCUUUGUAUAACUCUCGCAUUACCUCCUCUAUCUUCUCUUCUUUGAUGAGCAGCUCAGGAGAGAGCUCGGCUUCAUCGUCGACUUCGGUCAACAACAUGGUCAAAGU
rnacentral:lncRNA from 1 species